CGUAUGAUGCGCGCCGUUGGUGCUCGUCGAGGCGUUCGGCCGAGACAGUUCAACGGGAAUCAGGAGGGACGCGCCCGCACUGGGCGCACCCAACCUGAGCUGCCCCCGCAACGGUAAGCGGAUGGCAGGCUCCGAACAGGGCCUGCCGGCACGUGACACGCAGCCACUGGGCGACACCGCCACAAAGCGGUGCCCCCUGGGAAGGCGUCACGCGUCGAUGCCGUCAGCCCGGAUACCGGCCAACGAGGUGGCCUGCCG
rnacentral:ncRNA from 2 species